UACGAAGGGGGCUAGCGUUGUUCGGAAUUACUGGGCGUAAAGCGCGCGCAGGCGGUCUUCCAAGUCAGUGGUGAAAGCCUGGAGCUCAACUCCAGAACUGCCAUUGAAACUGUUAGACUUGAGUACGAGAGAGGUGAGUGGAAUUCCCAGUGUAGAGGUGAAAAUUCGUAGAUAUUGGGAAGAACACCAGUGGCGAAGGCGGCUCACUGGCUCGUAACUGACGCUCAGGCGCGACAGCGUGGGGAUCGAA
rnacentral:rRNA from 1 species